AGGGUUCGGCUGUUCGCCGAUUAAAGUGGCACGCGAGCUGGGUUCAGAACGUCGUGAGACAGUUCGGUCCCUAUCUGUUGUGGGCGUUGGAAAAUUGAGAGGAUCUGACAUUAGUACGAGAGGACCGUGUUGGACAAACCUCUAGUGUACCUGUUGUGGCGCCAGCUGCAUCGCAGGGUAGCUACGUUUGGACGAGAUAAGCACUGAAAGCAUCUAAGUGCGAAGCUUCCCUCAAGAUGAAUUUUCCUUUAAGGGUCGUUAAAGACUAUGACGUUGAUAGGCCAUAGGUGUAAAGGCAGUAAUGUCAAAGCCGAGUGGUACUAAUUACCCGUAAGCUUCUCUU
rnacentral:rRNA from 1 species